AUUUUAUUUUCCGGCGUCUCCUAAAACCCUAUAAAUCCUCUCCGUAGAAGAAAACGACGACGCUCGAAUCUCGCAAUGGCUUCCGCUUGCAACAGAUUCAUGAACAGAUCCUCCGUCUCGUCUCUCAGAUCCGCCGUCAGAUCCGCGCUUCACAAAUCCCCAAUCGGCACCGGAACUCCGCCGAGUGCUUCCUCCGCCGGGUUUCGGAUUCCGUCUAAACCGGCAGCUUCUCCCCGAUUCUCCUUCUCCAGGUGUCCAUCAGAGCUUGGUUGUGUUCAGUCGCUGUUGCCGCUUCACAGCACGGUGGCGGCUGCUAGGCUGACGUCGUGCCUUAGCGUAACAUCAAGAAGCAGCCGAGCUCUCUCUCAGGGCACAUAAUUUCACCGUUACCAUUGUGGGAUCGAUCCUUGCAUCUUUAUCAAAUGGAAUCGAUGACACGUGAGACGUAUUUGCAGUUGUUUUUAAAGAGAUGGGCCUUUCAGUCCCAAGGUGACCACCUGCUACAUUCAUGAAGAUUAUUACUAUCAGGGCCUCAGAGGAGACAAGAAGUUUUUUUUUUUUUUUUUUUUUGCGACACCAAACGCUUGUUCAUGAAGAAAACUGUGUAAUACUAUUUCGAGAUCUUUACACAAUUCAUGAAGAAAACUGUGUAAUACUAUUUCGAGAUUUUUACUUU